rnacentral:rRNA from 1 species
GACGAACGCUGGCGGCGUGCUUAACGCAUGCAAGUCGAACGGAAAGGCCCUGCUUUUGUGGGGUGCUCGAGUGGCGAACGGGUGAGUAACACGUGAGUAACCUGCCCUUGACUUUGGGAUAACUUCAGGAAACUGGGGCUAAUACCGGAUAGGAGCUCCUGCUGCAUGGUGGGGGUUGGAAAGUUUCGGCGGUUGGGGAUGGACUCGCGGCUUAUCAGCUUAUUGGUGGGGUAGUGGCUUACCAAGGCUUUGACGGGUAGCCGGCCUGAGAGGGUGACCGGCCACAUUGGGACUGAGAUACGGCCCAGACUCCUACGGGAGGCAGCAGUGGGGAAUAUUGCACAAUGGGCGGAAGCCUGAUGCAGCAACGCCGCGUGCGGGAUGACGGCCUUCGGGUUGUAAACCGCUUUCGCCUGUGACGAAGCGUAAGUGACGGUAAUGGGUAAAGAAGCACCGGCUAACUACGUG